rnacentral:rRNA from 1 species
GAUGAACGCUGACAGCAUGCUUAACACAUGCAAGUCAACUGUGGCGGACGGGUGAGUAACGCGUAAAGAACUUGCCUCACAGCUAGGGACAACAUUUGGAAACGAAUGCUAAUACCUAAUACUGUGAGAGAGCUUUGGGUCCCAUUAGCUAGUUGGAGAGGUAACGGCUCACCAAGGCGAGGCUGGGUAGCCGGCCUGAGAGGGUGAUCGGCAACAAGGGGACUGGGACACGGCCCUUACGCAUACGUGAGGAAGUAGUGGGGAAUAUAGAUAAAUGGACCAAAGUCUGAGCCAGCAAUUCUGUGUGCACGAUGAAGUUUUCGGAAUGUAAAGUGCUGUCAGUAUGGAAGCGUUACCAACAGAAGAAGUGACGGCUAAAUACGUGCCAGCAGCCGCGGUAAUAC